CCUACGGGAGGCAGCAGUAGGGAAUUUUCGUCAAUGGGCGCAAGCCUGAACGAGCGAUGCCGCGUGAGUGAAGAAGGCCUUCGGGUCGUAAAGCUCUGUUGCGGGGGAAAAAAGGCAGCAUCAGGAAAUGGGUGCUGACUGAUGGUGCCCCGCCAGAAAGUCACGGCUAACUACGUGCCAGCAGCCGCGGUAAUACGUAGGUGGCGAGCGUUAUCCGGAAGGAUUGGGCGUAAAGGGUGCGCAGGCGGUCCUGCAAGUCUGGAGUGAAACGCAUGAGCUCAACUCAUGCAUGGCUUUGGAUACUGGAGGACUGGAGAGCAGGAGAGGGCGGUGGAACGCCAGGUGUAGCGGUAAAAUGCGUAGAUAUAUGGAAGAACACCAGUGGCGAAGGCGGCCGCCUGGCCUGUUGCUGACGCUGAGGCACGAAAGCGUGGGGAGCAAAUAGGAUUAGAUACCCCAGUAGUC
rnacentral:rRNA from 1 species